GCACCCUGGCUCUACAGCCACCCUCAGUCUGUCCAUGUUGGUCUCAGAAGUACUGUUCUGUUUGCAUCAGGUCACUGCUGGAAACCUUCCAUCGGUCCUUGCCACUUACAUGGCAAAGUGAACACUUUGUUGAAAGAACUUUCUAGAGACUCCACCUACUGGAGCCCAAACCCCAGCUCUGCCACUUACUAGACUUUGGAAAGGUAUGUUCUCUCCCUUCUUGGAACACCCUGCCUUGGAACCUGGACCCUGGUCUGCUUACCUAAGAGAUCAAACAGUGCUACGGAAAUAUCUAAGGACUCAAGAAAAAGCCGUUGGCUACAACCUCUGGGCAAACAACAGAAGCAUUCUAGUCCAGAGUCCAGAAGAAGCAAGGGCUCCAGUGUGGCCAAAUGGAAGAAGGCGAAAACAGGCCUGAGUCCAGGCCUCAUGUUCUAACUACUGAGAUAACCACUGAGGUUUCCAUAUUUGCUUCCUCCACCAGACUGAGUGUGUUGACAGCAGGAACUCCAGGACCCUCUGGCCCAGCACAGGCCAAUACACAAGAAGACCCAAGUCUUGAUGGAGAGAGGAAUGAAGGAAUGAGUGAAUGAAUGAUACAUGGGAACACCUCUACAAAUUAGCCAGGAGCUUUUCUCUUCCAGACAAUGAGAAGGUCUGGGAGCUCUCUGGCCAGAACUGGCUAAUGAAAUCACUAUUUUAGGAGGAUGGAUCACAGCAGGGUGAACUGGGAAGCUGGAGGCCCAGAGACCCGCUGGAAGGCUAUUUGGAAAGGUCGGCUUCCAAGCUGCCUGCAAGUGUAAAAAAAUCUAUGAGUGCAUUACCAGGAGGGCCAUCCAGCUUCGUUUAUUUUUAUCCUACCAAAUACAAGGUCAGAGACAAGUAGAGCACUUUCAGCUGAAAUUAUUUUUUUUAAUUGACAUCACACUUUACGCAAAUAUUAAUUCAUUUAUUCAGCAAACAGUUCUUGGGAACACUGGGCUAGCCUGAGAGCAAGGCAUCGUUUCUUCAGUGUGCAUGUUAAUUAUGGAGAUGCCUGUGUUUCACUUUGGCUUUCAAAUGAUCAGACCUCUGGCUUCUCAGCGGCUCGGAGCGGUCUUACAAAUACUAAGAUUCCAAGGACCGACCACUAUGGGUCCCCUUCCUAACGUGGAAACAAAUAUUUUAAAUCCAA